AACGCACCUUGCGCUCCCUGGUAUUCCGAGGAGCAUGCCUGUUUGAGUGUCUUGAAGUCAUCAACCCCUCCCGUUCUGUGCGGGAGCUGGGUUGGAGCUGGGGCCUGCGUCCGCAAGGUCGCUCCCCCCAAACGCUUCGGUUGGGCCGUGGGCCGGACUCGGUUGGGCGUUGUACCAUCCUCGCUCGCACCCGAGAAGUCCCCCGCAAAUAGUUGCCUGCCGUGGGCCGCCACACAGGGGCGGCCAAAACACACUCUGUGAUCUGACCUCAAAUCAGGUAGGACUACCCGCUGAACUUAA
rnacentral:misc_RNA from 1 species